AGCUACUGCUAUUGGAAUCCGAUUAAGCCAUGCGAGUCUAAAGGACUUCGGUCCUUGGCAGACGGCUCAGUAACACGUGGAGAACCUGCCCUCAGGAGGGGGAUAACCCCGGGAAACUGGGAAUAAUACCCCAUAGGUCUAGGAUGCUGGAAUGCUUCUAGGCUGAAAGCUCCGGCGCCUGAGGAUGGCUCUGCGGCUUAUCAGGUUGUAGUGAGGGUAACGUCCUCACUAGCCUAUGACGGGUACGGGCCCUGAGAGGGGAAGCCCGGAGAUGGACUCUGAGACACGAGUCCAGGCCCUACGGGGCGCAGCAGGCGCGAAAACUCCGCAAUGCUCGAAAGAGUGACGGGGGGAUUCCAAGUGCCUACGCUCAGCGUAGGCUGUUCAGAUGCCUAAAAAGCAUCUGGAGUAAGGGCUGGGUAAGACGGGUGCCAUCUGUGGCAGCAGCCGAAGAUUUGGCUUGCUACUGCAAGGCAUAAGCCGCCGCGGUAAUACCCGCAGCUCGAGUGGUAGUCGGUUUUAUUGGGCCUAAAGCGUCCGUAUCCGGUCUGGUAAAUGCCUGGGUAAAUCGUGGGGCUCAACCCUACGAAUUCCGGGUAGACUGCCAGACUUGGGACCGGUUGAGGAAGAGGGUACUUCAGGGGUAGGAGUGAAAUCCUGUAAUCCUUGAAGGACCACCAGUGGCGAAGGCGCUCUUCUAGGACGGGUCCGACGGUGAGGGACGAAAGCCAGGGGAGCAAACCGGAUUAGAUACCCGGGUAGUCCUGGCCGUAAACGAUGUGGGCUUGGCAUUGGGGGUUCUACGUGAGCGCCCAGUGCCGUAGCGAAGGCGUUAAGCCCACCGCCUGGGAAGUAUGGUCGCAAGGCUGAAACUUAAAGGAAUUGGCGGGGGAGCACAGCAACGGGAGGAGCGUGCGGUU
rnacentral:rRNA from 1 species